GGGGCUGAAUUUUAAGCUCGACAUGGGAUGUUAACAGUUAGAUCAGCAGGCCGCUUAUCAGCGUUAUAGAUAUUCUGAUUAGAUGCAGAAAAAACAUCUUUCGGUGAAGCCGUAGCCAAUGCACUAGCACGCCGCGACUUUGCCUUUGCUGCCUAAUUACUUAGACAGCCACGUUCGUUCUGGACACCAGAUACGGAACAUUCGUGACAUAUACUUCUGGUUGCUUCUGAAGCCCCGGUCCAGCUUCAGCGUAAGCCUUUGGACCAACCCAAUCGAGUGUUUUGGUCGUCUUCAGCUCGGUCGGUAUCUAGACGACCUAUGCCUGUAGGAUAGACUAGCUAGUUAACCUUAUGGACGCGGGGGCAGUACCCGCCAGCUCCACCA
rnacentral:tmRNA from 1 species